rnacentral:tRNA from 2 species
AAAAAAUUAGUUAAAUUAUAACAUUAGCUUGUCAAGCUAAAAUUAUUAAAUUAUUAAUAUUUUUUG